UCGAGAAUCAUUCACAAUGGGGGCAACCCUGAUGGUGCGACGCCGCGUGGAGGAUAAGGUCUUCGGAUUGUAAACUCCUGUCAUGCGAGAGCAAGGCUUGGAUGGUAACUCAUUAAAGCUUGAUAGUAUCGCAAGAGGAAGAGACGGCUAACUCUGUGCCAGCAGCCGCGGUAAUACAGAGGUCUCAAGCGUUGUUCGGAAUCACUGGGCGUAAAGGGUGCGUAGGUGGCGUGGAAAGUCAGAUGUGAAAUCCGGGGGCUCAACCUCCGAAUAGCAUCCGAUACUCCCAUGCUAGAGAACUGGAGGGGGAUCUGGAAUUCUCGGUGUAGCAGUGAAAUGCGUAGAUAUCGAGAGGAACACUAGUGGCGAAGGCGAGAUCCUGGACAGUAUCUGACACUGAUGCACGAAGGUCAGGGGAGCAAACG
rnacentral:rRNA from 1 species